rnacentral:rRNA from 1 species
AGAGUUUGAUCAUGGCUCAGGACGAACGCUGGCGGCGUGCUUAAUACAUGCAAGUCGAGCGAGAAGCCACUCCUCCGUAAGGAGGAGUGGUGGAAAGCGGCGAACGGGUGAGUAACACGUGGGUAACGUGCCCUGGACUCUGGGAUAACAGUGGGAAACCGCUGCUAAUACCGGAUAACCCCUACCAGUCGCAUGAUCGGUAGGGCAAAGCUCCGGCGGUCCGGGAUCGGCCCGCGGUGUAUCAGCUUGUUGGUGGGGUAACGGCCUACCAAGGCAGUGACGCAUAGCUGGCGUGAGAGCGCGACCAGCCACACUGGGACUGAGACACUGGCCAGACACCUACGGGUGGCUGCAGUCGAGGAUCUUUGGCAAUGGGCGCAAGCCUGACCAAGCGACGCCGCGUGUGCGAUGAAGGCCUUCGGGUUGUAAAGCACUGUCGAGGGGGAUCAAAGCCCGCAAGGGCUUGAGAGAUCCCUGGAGGAAGCACGGGCUAAGUUCGUGCCAGCAGCCGCGGUAAGACGAACCGUGCGAACGUUGUUCGGAAUCACUGGGCUUAAAGGGCGCGUAGGCGGUCGGGCCAGUCCGGGGUGAAAUCCUGCAGCUCAACUGUAGAAGUGCCUUGGAUACUGCCCGGCUCGAGGGAGGUAGGGGUCUGUGGAACUUCUGGUGGAGCGGUGAAAUGCGUUGAUAUCAGAAGGAACGCCGGUGGCGAAAGCGACAGACUGGACCUCUUCUAACGCUGAGGCGCGAAAGCUAGGGGAGCAAACGGGAUUAGAUACCCCCGUAGUCC